GGGAGAAAGCAGGGGAUCUUCGGACCUUGCGCUAAUAGAUGAGCCUAAGUCGGAUUAGCUAGUUGGUGGGGUAAAGGCCUACCAAGGCGACGAUCUGUAGCGGGUCUGAGAGGAUGAUCCGCCACACUGGGACUGAGACACGGCCCAGACUCCUACGGGAGGCAGCAGUGGGGAAUAUUGGACAAUGGGCGCAAGCCUGAUCCAGCCAUGCCGCGUGUGUGAAGAAGGCCUUAUGGUUGUAAAGCACUUUAAGCGAGGAGGAGGCUACUUUAGUUAAUACCUAGAGAUAGUGGACGUUACUCGCAGAAUAAGCACCGGCUAACUCUGUGCCAGCAGCCGCGGUAAUACAGAGGGUGCAAGCGUUAAUCGGAUUUACUGGGCGUAAAGCGCGCGUAGGCGGCUAAUUAAGUCAAAUGUGAAAUCCCCGAGCUUAACUUGGGAAUUGCAUUCGAUACUGGUUAGCUAGAGUGUGGGAGAGGAUGGUAGAAUUCCAGGUGUAGCGGUGAAAUGCGUACAGAUCUGGAGGAAUACCGAUGGCGAAGGCAGCCAUCUGGCCUAACACUGACGCUGAGGUGCGAAAGCAUGGGGGAGCAAACAGGAUUAGAUACCCUGGUAGUCCAUGCCCGUAAACGAUGUCUACUAGCCGUUGG
rnacentral:rRNA from 1 species